AACGAACGCUGGCGGCAUGCCUAACACAUGCAAGUCGAACGAACCCUUCGGGGUUAGUGGCGCACGGGUGCGUAACGCGUGGGAAUCUGCCCAAAGGUUCGGAAUAACACAGAGAAAUUUGUGCUAAUACCGGAUAAUGUCUUCGGACCAAAGAUUUAUUGCCUUUGGAUGAGCCCGCGUUGGAUUAGCUUGUUGGUGAGGUAACGGCUCACCAAGGCGACGAUCUAUAGCUGGUCUGAGAGGAUGAUCAGCCACACUGGGACUGAGACACGGCCCAGACUCCUACGGGAGGCAGCAGUGGGGAAUAUUGGACAAUGGGCGAAAGCCUGAUCCAGCAAUGCCGCGUGAGUGAUGAAGGCCUUAGGGUUGUAAAGCUCUUUUACCAGGGAUGAUAAUGACAGUACCUGGAGAAUAAGCUCCGGCUAACUCCGUGCCAGCAGCCGCGGUAAUGUCGUACG
rnacentral:rRNA from 1 species